rnacentral:lncRNA from 1 species
GCGGGUGGUUGGAAAGACGGUGAAUGGAAAGGGGAUGGCUGGUGGUCUUGGGUGUGAUGUGUGUUAUUGGUUUGUAGAGGUAAGUGACCCAGCAACCGGGCUGGGGCCCGCAGCCUCAAUCCGCAAAGAUAGGGGUCGAGGACACGCAGGAGAAAGAAGGUAUUCUGCCUGAGAGAGCUGAAGAGGCAAAGCUAAAGGCCAAAUACCCAAGCCUAGGACAAAAGCCUGGAGGCUCCGACUUCCUCAUGAAGAGACUCCAGAAAGGGCAAAAGUACUUUGACUCAGGAGACUACAACAUGGCCAAAGCCAAGAUGAAGAAUAAGCAGCUGCCAAGUGCAGGACCAGACAAGAACCUGGUGACUGGUGAUCACAUCCCCACCCCACAGGAUCUGCCCCAGAGAAAGUCCUCGCUCGUCACCAGCAAGCUUGCGGGGUAACCUGAGCCCCCCUCUCCUCCCCUUCCUCAACCACUGGACGUUUAUAUAUUAUAGGCAGGGAUGAAAUGGGCACCUAGUCAGAUCUUCUCAGCUUGCUAGCCAGAAAUGACUGUGAUUCUGCUGGGGGCUGCU